UUUUAUUCAUAUAUGUUUAUGGAUAAUCAUUGCUGAUUGCCAUUGUAGAAUUGUACUCUAUACAUAUUGCAUGUAUAAGUCAGGUAUGAAAGGCUGAUCACCUUCAUUACCCUUCGGUUCAGAUAUAUUUGUUCAUGUUAUAUACUUGUUCAGUCAAAAAGUUUGUUUAUGCUAGUUCACAAUUUUAUUGUUGAAUUAUAG
rnacentral:lncRNA from 1 species